GACGAACGCUGGCGGCAUGCCUAACACAUGCAAGUCGAACGGAGAAAAGGAAGCUUGCUUUCUUUUCUUAGUGGCGGACGGGUGAGUAACGCGUGAGUAACCUGCCUUUCAGGAGGGGGAUAACGUUCUGAAAAGAACGCUAAUACCGCAUGAGACUACAGAGCUGCAUGGCUCAGUGGUCAAAGGAGCAAUCCGCUGAAAGAUGGACUCGCGUCCGAUUAGAUAGUUGGCGGGGUAACGGCCCACCAAGUCGACGAUCGGUAGCCGGACUGAGAGGUUGAACGGCCACAUUGGGACUGAGACACGGCCCAGACUCCUACGGGAGGCAGCAGUGAGGGGAUAUUGGGCAAUGGGGGAAACCCUGACCCAGCAACGCCGCGUGAAGGAAGAAGGCCUCGGUUGUAAC
rnacentral:rRNA from 1 species